UACCUGAAAAAAAAACAGUAAAAAUACCGGUUUUUAGGUAAGCUUACCAGUCUGUCUUGGUAAAAUUACCAAUAAUUGGUAAAAAAAAGUGAGAUGGUAAAGGUACCAACGGACCUUGGUAAAAACGCCGAGAAUUUUUUUUCAGUGUAGACUUUUUAGGUUCAGUAAAUAUGUACACAGUGUUAUGAUACAUAAAUUUUAUGUUGCAGGACAGUGAAUAGCUAGGUUGCACAAAUUACAUACUUGUAUUCAAAGAACAUGGAGAUGGACGAAUUUGAAAGCACAGAUCAGGAUGAAACUUCUGCUGGAAGCACUAACCCUGUACCUCAUCUCUCCUGCAGACUCUAGUUGGAUCGCAAAAUGUGUCUCAAUUGGAUGCAGCUGCAUGUAUGCCAGAGAAAAUUACGCUUACAAGUCUCUGAUUCAGGUCCACGCGUUAUUUCUAAGAGAGGCAUCCUGCGGCCUUAACAACCUGGUCACCACCGAUGACUUGAGUAUUCCCCCUCCGCCUUCUUCUUCUUUGUUCUCGCCUCCGUUUGAUAAUACAGCAAAAAAACACAUACUCGUUGACCUACCGGAGGAAGUUAAUCUCAUGAAAAUGACUAACAUGGAUUUUUCGACUCUCCCAGAUUAUUCAUACAAUGGGAGUGACAAAUCUCAAGAUUUUGUUGUGACAUCCCCCGGUAAAUAUGAUAAUAUUCUUGCACUAGAAAUGCACGAUCUGGAACUUCGACUUGACAACAACUCUACGCUCAAUUUCAUCCGAGUUUUCAAAGGACUAGCCAUCAUAGAUUUAUCAAACAAUCGUAUCACCAGAAUCAAGAAAAAUACCUUUAUGAAUAUGUCGAAUUUAAAAGUGAUAAACUUGAAUAACAACAUGAUUAUAUCGAUCGAACAGGACGCAUUUCAAGACCUCUCCCAGCUUUCAGUUUUGCAGCUAUCAAAAAAUUCACUCAUCACCGUGCCCUCAAAUAUUCCACCCUCGCUCCAAGUGUUGACUUUGGCUGAAAACCGGUUUGGACAUUUCACGAUCAAUCUUCACUUUCCAAAACUUAUGAUAUUGGACUUAUGCGGGAAUUUCCUGAGCAAGAGUGACCUGAUCAUUUUGAAUGACGUCAAAUUUUUGAAGCGGAUCUGUCUCGGUGAUAACGGAGUGGGAAUGCCAGCAAACCUAAACGUGAAAGCUCCUUACCUCGCAAACAUAACGCUCUCCGCUCUUUUUCAAAUGCACGCCCUCCUGGACAAUGCAACCGUUGAGGAAUUAUCUCAAUUUCUCUCUUUGAAAGACUUAACUUUGAUUCACUUCCACAUCAACACGCUCUCCUUCUUGGCCAACAAAACGCAGCUGAUGAAUUUGAGGUUGGAGCAUUUGACCUGGAAUGGGACGGAGACCAACGUCACUGAAUAUUUUGAAAACAAAAAUUCAUUGAAUAGAAUCUCACUGGAUCAGAGCCCGACCCUUGCAAAUUUACUGCUCUUUAAAACCAACGCAAUAUCAAUCCUGAAAAAUUUAACGCACCUCAGUUUGCAGUUCACGGGUAUCAAGACCCUGAGCCCGGUCUCACUACCGUCCCUGUCGAGGCUCCACCUGGACAUCAGCUUCAACGCGCUGAUCUGCGACGAGCGACUCCGGUGGGUCGUCGACGCCCGGGCCGUCCAGCCCAACUUCCUCGUCUCCGAGGACGACACCAUCUGCGCCGCGCCCGAGGAACGGAAACUCGUCGACGAACUCCGCGUCUCCAACGUCACCAUGGCAACGCCGACCCCCAGCACCACCGUCGGGAGCCCCGCGACGUCAUCCUUGGGCCCCGCCCCAAGCUCCCGGGGCACCGUCCGUGCCCCCGUCUUCCGGACGGAGUUCGUGGACUCCCGCCUCGCCCCGAGCAGCGGGUCUCCUACCAGUCCGAGGGAAGGACCGGCAUCAUCGUCAUGGGUGCUGUUGUCGGAGUCCUGUCGGCCGCCGCCACCGCGCUUAUCUUCGUCUACGGAUUGA
rnacentral:lncRNA from 1 species